AGGGUUUGAUCAUGGCUCAGAACGUACGCUGGCGGCACGCCUAACACAUGCAAGUCGAACGAAGUAGCAAUACUUAGUGGCAGACGGGUGAGUAACAUGUAGGUAUCUACCCUAUGGCCUGGAAUAACACGAGGAAACUUGUGCUAAUACCGGAUAAGUCUUUACGGAGAAAGCUUUAUGCACCAUUGGAUGAGCCUGCACUUGAUUAGUUUGUUGGUGGGGUAAUGGCCUACCAAGACUGUGAUCAAUAGCUGAUUUGAGAGGAUGAUCAGCCACAUUGGGACUGAGACACGGCCCAAACUCCUACGGGAGGCAGCAGUGGGGAAUCUUGCACAAUGGAGGAAACUCUGAUGCAGCGAUGCCGCGUGAGUGAAGAAGGCCCUUGGGUUGUAAAGCUCUUUCGUCGGGGAAGAAAAUGACUGUACCCGAAUAAGAAGGUCCGGCUAACUUCGUGCCAGCAGCCGCGGUAAUACGAAGGGACCUAGCGUAGUUCGGAAUUACUGGGCUUAAAGAGUUCGUAGGUGGUUGAAAAAGUUGGUGGUGAAAUCCCAGAGCUUAACUCUGGAACUGCCAUCAAAACUUUUCAGCUAGAGUAUGAUAGAGGAAAGCAGAAUUUCUAGUGUAGAGGUGAAAUUCGUAGAUAUUAGAAAGAAUACCAAUUGCGAAGGCAGCUUUCUGGAUCAUUACUGACACUGAGGAACGAAAGCAUGGGUAGCGAAGAGGAUUAGAUACCCUCGUAGUCCAUGCCGUAAACGAUGUGUGUUAGACGUUGGAAAUUUAUUUUCAGUGUCGCAGUGAAAGCGAUAAACACACCGCCUGGGGAGUACGACCGCAAGGUUAAAACUCAAUGAAUUGACGGGACCCGCACAAGUAGUGGAGCAUGUGGUUUAAUUCGAAGAUACGCGC
rnacentral:rRNA from 1 species